GACAGAGGUGGCGAGCGUUGUUCGGUGUCACUGGGCUUAAAGCGUGUGUAGGCGGCCCGAUAAGUCCGUUGUGAAAUACCUCAGCUUAACUGAGGAACUGCUUCGGAUACUGUUGGGCUUGAGGCAGGUAUGGGUGCGGGGAACGGUUGGUGGAGCGGUGGAAUGCGUAGAUAUCAACCGGAACGCCGGCGGUGAAGACGCUGCACUGGGCCUGUUCUGACGCUGAGACACGAAAGCGUGGGUAU
rnacentral:rRNA from 1 species